GACGAACGCUGGCGGCGUGCUUAACACAUGCAAGUCGAACGAGAGGAGAAGGAAGCUUGCUUCUUUCAAAUCUAGUGGCAAACGGGUGAGUAACACGUAAACAACCUGCCUUCAGGAUGGGGACAACAGACGGAAACGACUGCUAAUACCGAAUACGUUCCUUAGGUCGCAUGACUUUAGGAAGAAAGGGUGGCCUCUACUUGUAAGCUAUCGCCUGAAGAGGGGUUUGCGUCUGAUUAGGUAGUUGGUGAGGUAACGGCCCACCAAGCCGACGAUCAGUAGCCGGUCUGAGAGGAUGAACGGCCACAUUGGGACUGAGAUACGGCCCAGACUCCUACGGGAGGCAGCAGUGGGGAAUAUUGGGCAAUGGGCGAAAGCCUGACCCAGCAACGCCGCGUGAAGGAAGAAGGCCUUCGGGUUGGUAAAACUUCCUUUUUAACCUACGGGACGAAGGACGUGACGGU
rnacentral:rRNA from 1 species